UACGUAUGGUGCAAGCGUUAUCCGGAUUUACUGGGCGUAAAGGGAGCGCAGGCGGCGCGCCAAGUCUGAUGCGAAACCCCGGGGCUCAACCCCGGGCAUGCAUUGGAAACUGGCGGGCUGGAGUGCCGGAGAGGUAAGCGGAAUUCCUAGUGUAGCGGUGAAAUGCGUAGAUAUUAGGAGGAACACCAGUGGCGAAGGCGGCUUACUGGACGGCAACUGACGCUGAGGCUCGAAAGCGUGGGGAGCAAACAGG
rnacentral:rRNA from 1 species